CCUACGGGAGGCAGCAGUGGGGAAUAUUGGGCAAUGGGCGAAAGCCUGACCCAGCAACGCCGCGUGAAGGAAGAAGGCCUUCGGGUUGUAAACUUCUUUUGACAGGGAAGAGCAGAAGACGGUACCUGUCGAAUCAGCCACGGCUAACUACGUGCCAGCAGCCGCGGUAAUACGUAGGUGGCAAGCGUUGUCCGGAUUUACUGGGUGGAAAGGGCGUGUAGGCGGGCUGACAAGUCAGAUGUGAAAUCCGGGGGGUCAACCCCCGAACUGCAUUUGAAACUGUUGGUCUUGAGUAUCGGAGAGGCAGGCGGAAUUCCUAGUGUAGCGGUGAAAUGCGUAGAUAUGAGGAGGAACACCAGUGGCGAAGGCGGCCUGCUGGACGAUAACUGACGGUGAGGCGCGAAAGCGUGGGGAGCAAACAGGAUUAGAUACCCUAGUAGUC
rnacentral:rRNA from 1 species